GUUUACUCUGAUGGAACGUGAGCAAACACGAGACAAGCUAAGGCUGGAUCCUGCACAUUGGUGCUUGCCGUCUUUCUUGCUUCUGAAACCCCUCUCCCAAGUCAAGAGCCCAGGCUAGCCUUCUGGAGACACGUGGCCCAGCCAACAGCCAACACUAACAUGUCUGACCCAGUCUGUGUGCCCUUGGAAGACGCUGUAGCAUCCAAGACUCUGAGUCAGUACGUGGCAUCCUCUCUACCUGUGCUCCUUCUAGACAUGCUGCAUCUCCUGCCCCAUCCUAAACUCAGAGAAGAGGU
rnacentral:lncRNA from 1 species